UACGUAGGGGGCAAGCGUUGUCCGGAUUUAUUGGGCGUAAAGAGCUCGUAGGCGGCUAUUCACGUCGGAUGUGAAAGCUCAAGGCUCAACCUUGAGAGGCCAUUCGAUACGGGAUAGCUAGAGGUAGGUAGGGGAGAUCGGAAUUCCUGGUGUAGCGGUGAAAUGCGCAGAUAUCAGGAGGAACACCGAUGGCGAAGGCAGAUCUCUGGGCCUUACCUGACGCUGGGGAGCGAAAGCUGGGGGAGCGAAUGGG
rnacentral:rRNA from 1 species